CCUACGGGAGGCAGCAGUGGGGGAUAUUGCACAAUGGGGGGAACCCUGCUGCAGCGACGCCGCGUGAGCGAAGAAGUACCUCGGUAUGUAAAGCUCUAUCAGCAGGGAAGAAAAUGACGGUACCUGACUAAGAAGCCCCGGCUAAAUACGUGCCAGCAGCCGCGGUAAUACGUAGGGGGCAAGCGUUAUCCGGAUUUACUGGGUGUAAAGGGAGCGCAGGCGGCCUGCCAAGUCUGGUGUGAAAACCCGGGGCUCAACCCCGGGCCUGCAUUGGAAACUGGCGGGCUGGAGUGUCGGAGGGGCAGGCGGAAUUCCUAGUGUAGCGGUGAAAUGCGUAGAUAUUAGGAGGAACACCGGUGGCGAAGGCGGCCUGCUGGACGAUGACUGACGCUGAGGCUCGAAAGCGUGGGGAGCAAACAGGAUUAGAUACCCGAGUAGUC
rnacentral:rRNA from 1 species